rnacentral:rRNA from 1 species
GGGUACGAUCAUACCAGCAUUAAUGCACCGGAUCCCAUCAGAACUCCGAAGUUAAGCGUGCUUGGGCGAGAGUAGUACUAGGAUGGGUGACCUACUGGGAAGUCCUCGUGUUGCACCCC